AUGGACGCCCUCACCCGCCUCCACCGGUCGCUCGCCGGCGGCGACGACGAGGAGUGGCAGGAGGACGACAUCCUCGGUGAUACCGAAGGCCUCUGCUCUCUGUCCCCUCUCCAGCGGCUCUACGCCUUCGCGGCUUGCUUGGUUGCUGGACUCGCCCUCAUGAUGCUGUCACUUAUUGUUUUCGCCAGACCUAUCAAAUUUGCUCUGUUGUUUACAUUUGGAAACAUAAUGGCAGUUGGCAGCACAGUCUUCGUAAUGGGGGUAAAUAAACAAUUGAGGAUGAUGCUUGACCCAGUUCGUGUUUACGCAACGGCUAUUUAUGCUGGAUGUGCUGUUUUUGCUCUGAUUUUCGCUCUUUUGAUUCAUGACAAGCUGCUAACAUUGAUUGCAAUCAUAUGUGAGAUAUGUGCGCUCUUCUGGUAUAGCUUGAGCUACAUCCCUUUUGCUCGGCGGAUCGUCUCCGACCUGAUGGUCAAGCUCUGCGACACUGAACUAUGA
rnacentral:rRNA from 1 species